GGUCUCAGACCCCGGCCCUGCUGCGUCCCCACCCUUUGGUCACCGGCACUCUGAGCGCAGGGCCCCGGCCGCAGAGGCCGCAGAGGCUGCAGAGGCUUACGGGAAGGGCUGGCCCUGCUGUGCACACGGCCCGGUGGUCAGGCUGGGGGACCUGGACUAGCCAGAUCAGGACGGGACAGGACUGGACAGGACAGGGUGCGGGGACCUGAAUGGGACUGGACAGGACCGGACAGGUUCUCUCUCCACUUUGGCUGUCUCCCACGAGCACGCGCAGACUGCAGGGCCCAGGCUCGCCUCUCCCGGUGCUCGCAGUGACCAGGAGCGGUCCAGAGAAGCAAGGAAACUUGUCAAGGGUAUCAUAAGGAUCCUGGAGAUGACCGAACAUAUGUGGGUGGUGUGCACAGGUCACACGAGAACCUCGUGUCACUUUAUGUGAAGGAUGCUGAGGACCUGUGGGUCCUUGGGGCCCUGGAGCUGAUCCCUCAUGGAUCCUAAGGAACAACUACGUAUGCACUCAGCUGGCUAACUGAUGCAGGCAUUUUGUCACAGUACUGGAGUGCUGAUCCUGAGCCUGCUCCCUAGAGAAUGUCGCAGUCACCUGGGAUGACUCCACAGCAGGCCCCUCUGCAGGGUUCCAUCCCUGUUCCCCACCACUAUCACCUUGCUGAGUGACAGCUCAGCAUGUGGAGCAGGGGCAGAGACAGCCUGCUGUCACUGCCACCCCAACCCUAAGCCUUUCCUGGGCUCCUUAGAGUCCAAGCCAAGGUCCUCUCUCUUUCCUCUUCCCACCCAGAUGCCUAUUGUCACCUGUUGCCUGGCAAAGCCAUUGCUUUACCUGACUUGGUGUGGAAGCCAGGCUGAAGUCUCAGGGCUGCAUUUGCACCCAGUAGUCCAGGCUGUGCCCCCUCCAUUCUCCUACUGGCUCUAACAUCUCAGUCACAGCCAUGUUUCCUGGAUCCUGCCUCCAGCAUGGCAGGACGUAGCUGUCUCCUCAAGUUUUAGGACUUCUCUCAUCCCUUCCACCAAAGACCACCCACCUCUUCUUUUCACUGCUGCUUCUUUUAAAAAAUUGAUUAAAUU
rnacentral:lncRNA from 1 species